rnacentral:rRNA from 1 species
AAAGACAUUGCUUUCUGUAAAAGGUAAAAAGUAAUUUCUGCUCACUGCAAAUAUGUGUAAAGAGCUGCAGUAUUAUGACUGUAUAAAGGUAGCAUAAUCAUUAGUUUCUUAAUUAGGAUCUGGUAUGAAGAGUAAACGAGAAGGUGGUAUAUAAUUAUGAAUUAAUGAAAUUGAUAAUUGCGUGAAAAAGUGUAAAAAGACCGAAGGACAAGAAGACCCUAAAAGUUUUAUUUUAUAUUAUAAAAGGAUGUAGAGUUAGAAAAUAUAUUAGUGUUAUUUGUGAUAUGAGGUUUAGCUGGGGCGGUAUAUUUGGGAACAAAAAUUAAUUUUAAUAUUAUAUAUCAAUAUUUAUAGACCUAGUAGGUUUAAUUAAGAGAUGAAUUACUUUAGGGAUAACAGCGUUAUUAUUUUUGAGAGUUCUUAUUGACAAAAUGGUUUGCGACCUCGAUGUUGGAUUAGGAUGAAAGCUGGCGCAGAAGUGGCGAUAUUGGU